rnacentral:rRNA from 1 species
AGUGAACGCUGGCGGUAGGCCUAACACAUGCAAGUCGAACGGCAGCACAGUAAGAGCUUGCUCUUACGGGUGGCGAGUGGCGGACGGGUGAGGAAUACAUCGGAAUCUACUUUUUCGUGGGGGAUAACGUAGGGAAACUUACGCUAAUACCGCAUACGACCUACGGUUGAAAGCAGGGGAUCUUCGGACCUUGCGCGAUUGAAUGAGCCGAUGUCGGAUUAGCUAGUUGGCGGGGUAAAGGCCCACCAAGGCGACGAUCCGUAGCUGGUCUGAGAGGAUGAUCAGCCACACUGGAACUAAGACACGGUCCAGACUCCUACGGGAGGCAGCAGUGGGGAAUAUUGGACAAUGGGCGCAAGCCUGAUCCAGCCAUACCGCGUGGGUGAAGAAGGCCUUCGGGUUGUAAAGCCCUUUUGUUGGGAAAGAAAAGCAGCAGGUUAAUACCCCGCUGUUCUGACGGUACCCAAAGAAUAAGCACCGGCUAACUUCGUG